rnacentral:rRNA from 2 species
UUAAAUUGAAGAGUUUGAUCAUGGCUCAGAUUGAACGCUGGCGGCAGGCCUAACACAUGCAAGUCGAACGGUAGCACAGAGAGCUUGCUCUCGGGUGACGAGUGGCGGACGGGUGAGUAAUGUCUGGGAAACUGC